AUAAAUGUUUUCUAAACAGUAUCUGUUCUUAUCAGCUUAAUAUCUGAUAGAGGCCCGAUAUGAAUCCUCGAUAUUAACUUCAUUUUUGCAGCGGGGUGGGGUACUCCGGGCUUGUCCGGAACCUGCCAGGGUCGGCCGCCGCACUAACAGCAGUAAAGCGGGGAUUGGCCCAGUUCCU
rnacentral:snRNA from 1 species